rnacentral:lncRNA from 1 species
UUUUCUUUACUCUGUACAUGAAAAUUGUGAGAAUAUUCCACAAUUUGGGUACCUUUCAUCAUCCCUCAGAACACCUAUUAUACCAGUUAAUGUGAUAUGACUGGGGAGACAGAAAAAACCAGCUUCUGGUAGCUGGGAACUGGCUUGGCACUUACAGCUAUACCUUGGUGUUCUCCUCUUGAACAUAAACAAAUUCACUGAACACCAACAUCAGACAAAGCAAUUGUGAAUAUGGAGAUCAAGACAAAAAAAGACCACUUCAUAAUCAAGUCUGGAAUCCGACAAAAACACAAACAUUCCCUUAACUGCAAAGGUGACCAAACAUCCCACUGUUAACAGCCAAUAGUGACUACUUUUAUUAAAAAUUAAUUAUAACCUUAGGCUUGCUUCAUCCUGCUGCUUUUUAGAUAAGACAUAUUAAAAUACUCAAUACCUAGCCCAGUUUAAAGGCUGUCUCAUACAGUGUUAAAUAAAUUUAAAUGUUUUAACUUCCAUUCGGAUCACCCCAGAGUUUCUCAGCCUUAGAUAUAUAAGGUGGACAAUUGGGAACAUUUGCCCUAAUAGUUUCUUUCUUUUCCCUCCUAGGUUUGUGUUCGGAAUUUCUUCUGUUGUGUCCAUCAAGAUGGCAAGGUCUCUUGAAUCAGGAGCAAAAACAAGGAGCCAGCAGAUGAAUGCCUUCCUAGUCACCUUUGGCAGCAAGCUUCCUCACAUUCCCUGACUGCUCAAUGGAUUCUUAAAGCAACACAUCGCACAAUUAAAUACAAAGCCAGGUGGGUAGAAUUCUAGGUAUCGGUCUCGAGUCUUCAGCACUCAGCUCCAUCUCAGUCACUCUUACACACUCGUACACACAGACACACUUGCAUACAGAGGUCCGGCUCGUAUACUCCAGUGCAGUGACAUAAGACACUAGCUACUAAGAAUGUGUUUGUCACGAUCAGUGUGAACUGCAUGGAUUAGAACAACCUUUGGAGUUUGGUUAUAUUUACCAUAAUUUAUGGUCAAAAUUAUAAACUUACAAGGUUGGUAAAACAUUCAGAAAUCAAACCUUUUCAAGUCAGGCAAUCACACGUAUUUACAGUAUGUACAGACUUUCUACUAGAAUGGGGAUAGGUGUCUAGACGAUAUUACAAAUUUCCUGAAGGUGGGCAUUUCUAGUCCCUGUAAUUCAUAAAGCAAAUCUGCUGACUUGGCAUUAAGACUCUAAAAUAGUGUGAUCAAACUGAUAUAUAUAUAUGUAUAUAUAUAUUAUAUAUAAUUAUAAGAAGGUGUUUGCAGAAAUAACAUUUACAAACUAUACAGUACACAGUACUAGUACAUAGAAAAUAGAUUCUAACUUUAUGAUCCCCUUUGUGUAAGGCAAGACUGAAUCUGUCCCCAAAUUUAGUCAGCCAGAGGUACAAGCAAG